rnacentral:lncRNA from 7 species
GCAAGCAGGUCCCUGCCUGCCGUUGCAAGCAGUCCCUGCCUGCCGUUGCAAGCAGUCCCUGCCUGCCGUUGCAAGCAGGUCCCUGCCUGCCGUUGCAAGCAGGUCCCUGCCUGCCGUUGCAAGCAGGUCCUGCCUGCCGUUGCAAGCAGGUCCCUGCCUGCCGUUGCAAGCAGGUCCCUGCCUGCCGUUGCAAGCAGGUCCCUGCCUGCCGUUGCAAGCAGUCCCCUGCCGCCGUGCAAGCAGUCCCUGCCUGCCGUUGCAAGCAGGUCCCUGCCUGCCGUUGCAAGCAGGUCCCUGCCUGCCGUUGCAAGCAGGUCCCUGCCUGCCGUUGCAAGCAGGUCCCUGCCUGCCGUUGCAGCAGUCCCUGCUCCGUGCAAGCAGUCCCUGCCUGCCGUUGCAAGCAGGUCCCUGCCUGCCGUUGCAAGCAGUCCCUGCCGUGCAAGCAGGUCCUGCCUGCCGUUGCAAGCAGGUCCCUGCCUGCCGUUGCCCCCCCUGCCCAGCAGGUCCCUGCCUGCCGUUGCAAGCAGGUCCCUGCCUGCCGUUGCAAGCAGGUCCCUGCCUGCCGUUGCAAGCAGGUCCCUGCCUGCCGUUGCAAGCAGGUCCCUGCUGCCGUGCGCGUUGCGCCGGCAAGCAGGUCCCUGCCUGCCGUUGCAAGCAGGUCCCUGCCUGCCGUUGCAAGCAGGUCCCUGCCUGCCGUUGCAAGCAGGUCCCUGCCUGCCGCCCUGCCUGCCGUGCAGCAGCCCUGCCUGCCGUUGCAAGCAGUCCCUGCCUGCCGUUGCAAGCAGGUCCCUGCCCUACUGUGGUGCACGCUGUGUGCUUCGUUUUUCUUUGUUUUUUGGUGGGUUUUUGUUUUUCUUUUUUCAGAUUUGUUGCUUGAAAUGUGACUGUUUUGAUUUGCUCUUUUUUUCCAUUGGUUUUCCUUCUUCUUUUGUGUGUGUGUGUGGGUGUGUGUGUUGUGUGCUUUUGAUUUUUUUUUUUUUUUUUUUUUUUUUUUUUUUUUUGUGUGUCUGUUUUUGUGUAUUGUGCUUUUUUUUUGUUUUUGUUUUUUUGUGUUCUAUGAUUAGAUUUUCGUUCUGCUGUUUCGUUUCCCUUUUGCUUUCUUUGCAAUUCUUGUUUUUCUAUUUCUUCUAGUGUGUGUGCGUUUUGUGAAUUUCCUUUUUUUUUUUUGAUUUUUUGGGUUUUGUUUCCUCUAGUUUGAUUUCAAUUUUGUAUGUAUUUUAUCAUUUGUCUUUUUUUUUUUUUUGUGGGGCGCUUUGUGCGCUUGGUUUUUUUUUUCUUUUUUUGUUUAUUUUUUGUGGGGUUUUUUAUUUCAUUUUUUUUUAUUUGUUCUUUUAAGUGUGUUGGUUUGAUUGGCUCUUCGCCUUAGUUUUCCUACUUUUGUGUGUGUGUGUUUUGUGCUUUUGUUUUGUUUUUGCUUUUUGUGUUCUAUGAUUCGAUAUUUGUUCUGGUGGUUUUUUUGGUUGGUUGGUUUUUUGUAAUUCUUGUGUUUCUGUUUCUUGUAACAGUUUUUUGCCACUUUCUUUGUUUGAAUCCUUUGCUUGGCUACGAUAUUGCAUUGUAUGUCCUUGCUUUUUCCUUGUAUUUCUUUUAUCGUUUUGCUUUGCGUUUUCUUUGGUUUGCUUUUUUUGAUUCCUUGAUUUGUUGUUGUUUCAGUUUUUUUUUAGUUAUGUUUGAUUUGUUUUCUAUGUUUUUCCUUGGGAUGUCAUCGUUUUGUUGUUUUUUUACCUUUGCUUUCCUUACCUCAUUUUUCGCUUUGCUUUCCUCUGUUUUCUCUCUUUUUGCCAUUGUAUUCUUUGCCGUUUUUUUCUUUCUGUUAUUUUGUUUUUCUCUGAAUAUUCCUACAGAUGUCUACAACUAUGGGAACUCUUAUACGUCACACAAAUGGGUAACCCUUCACAGUUAUCGUUAACACAAAAUGCUAACCAUUCAGCACAGCUGGAAAAGGUAAAUCUGAAGCCUAAUGCCAAAGGGUAUCCCUUAAUCCUAAAGCCUGUCCCCAAAUGGGAAACCCUUAACUCGUAAUUCUAAUCCAAAAGGGCAACCAUGAAACCAAACCGAGAAGGGUACCCCGUAACUCUUAUCCCUUAAUGCAGCAUGGAGCCCUUUAGUUUCUUGUAACGGCAUAACCCUUAACCCAAAGUGCUGACACUGAAGCGUAACCCUCGUGAGAAGCUGUUAACACAAACCCCAAGCCGGUAGCCUGAAUGCUUCCCCCUACCCCUUUUAAAAGGGUAACCUUGAGAGCUGCCCCAAACGCAGAACGCUUGACAUGUAACCCUUGAGCGCAAGCCAAGCUGGGAAGCCUUCCCCCUAAAGCGUAGCCCAAAAGGGGAACUCUCAGCUCUUAG